UGAGCAGUCCAGGCGGCCGCUGCGGCGCUGUAUCGGCGCCGGGGAGGAAAGUCCGGGCUUCGCAGGGCAGGACGCCGGGUAACACCCGGUCGGCGCGAGCCGAAGGAAAGUGCCACAGAGAACAUACCGCCCGCGUCUUUUCGGGUAAGGGUGAAAAGGCAGGGUAAGAGCCUACCGAGCGCGGCGCAAACCGCGCGUCUGGCAAACCCCGUCCGAAGCAAGACCGAAUAGAGGGGGAUGAGGCGGCCCGCUGACCCCUGGGUCGGUCGCGUGGGUCUCGUGACCCGGAGGUGCGCCGCGAGGCGCGCCCUAGAUAAAUGGCCGCGUGAGUACAGAACCCGGCUUACGGACUGCUCAUCUC
rnacentral:RNase_P_RNA from 1 species